AGAGUUUGAUCCUGGCUCAGGAUGAACGCUGGCGGCGUGCUUAACACAUGCAAGUCGAACGAUGAUCCGGUGCUUGCACCGGGGAUUAGUGGCGAACGGGUGAGUAACACGUGAGUAACCUGCCCUUGACUCUGGGAUAAGCCUGGGAAACUGGGUCUAAUACCGGAUAUGACUCCUCAUCGCAUGGUGGGGGGUGGAAAGCUUUUGCGGUUUUGGAUGGACUCGCGGCCUAUCAGCUUGUUGGUGAGGUAAUGGCUUACCAAGGCGACGACGGGUAGCCGGCCUGAGAGGGUGACCGGCCACACUGGGACUGAGACACGGCCCAGACUCCUACGGGAGGCAGCAGUGGGGAAUAUUGCACAAUGGGCGCAAGCCUGAUGCAGCGACGCCGCGUGAGGGAUGACGGCCUUCGGGUUGUAAACCUCUUUCAGUAGGGAAGAAGCGAAAGUGACGGUACCUGCAGAAGAAGCGCCGGCUAACUACGUGCCAGCAGCCGCGGUAAUACGUAGGGCGCAAGCGUUAUCCGGAAUUAUUGGGCGUAAAGAGCUCGUAGGCGGUUUGUCGCGUCUGCCGUGAAAGUCCGGGGCUCAACUCCGGAUCUGCGGUGGGUACGGGCAGACUAGAGUGAUGUAGGGGAGACUGGAAUUCCUGGUGUAGCGGUGAAAUGCGCAGAUAUCAGGAGGAACACCGAUGGCGAAGGCAGGUCUCUGGGCAUUAACUGACGCUGAGGAGCGAAAGCAUGGGGAGCGAACAGGAUUAGAUACCCUGGUAGUCCAUGCCGUAAACGUUGGGCACUAGGUGUGGGGGACAUUCCACGUUUUCCGCGCCGUAGCUAACGCAUUAAGUGCCCCGCCUGGGGAGUACGGCCGCAAGGCUAAACUCAAAGGAAUUGACGG
rnacentral:rRNA from 1 species